AACGGCCGUACCAUGCUGAAUAUACCGGUUCUCGUUAGAUCACCGAAGUCAAGCAACAUUGGGCGCGGUCAGUACUUGGGUGGGUGACCACCUGGGAACAUCGCGUGCCGUU
rnacentral:rRNA from 1 species